rnacentral:guide_RNA from 1 species
GUGGUUAGAAGACGAUGUGGGUUUUUGAAUGGUAGGAGGGGUGGUGAA